UGAGGAAUAUUGGUCAAUGGGCGCGAGCCUGAACCAGCCAAGUAGCGUGAAGGAUGACUGCCCUAUGGGUUGUAAACUUCUUUUAUAGGGGAAUAAAGUUGGCCACGUGUGGCCUUUUGUAUGUACCUUAUGAAUAAGGAUCGGCUAACUCCGUUCCAGCAGCCGCGGUAAUACGGAGGAUCCGAGCGUUAUCCGGAUUUAUUGGGUUUAAAGGGAGCGUAGGCGGGGGCUUAAGUCAGUUGUGAAAGUUUGCGGCUCAACCGUAAAAUCGCAGUUGAUACUGGCUUCCUUGAGUGCGGCAGAGGCAGGCGGAAUUCGUGGUGUAGCGGUGAAAUGCUUAGAUAUCACGAAGAACCCCGAUUGCGAAGGCAGCCUGCUGGACCGUAACUGACGCUGAUGCUCGAAAGUGCGGGUAUCAAACAGG
rnacentral:rRNA from 1 species